AUACGUAGGUGGCAGGCGUUGUCCGGAAUUAUUGGGCGUAAAGCGCGCGCAGGCGGUCCUUUAAGUCUGAUGUGAAAGCCCACGGCUCAACCGUGGAGGGUCAUUGGAAACUGGGGGACUUGAGUGCAGAAGAGGAAAGUGGAAUUCCAAGUGUAGCGGUGAAAUGCGUAGAGAUUUGGAGGAACACCAGUGGCGAAGUCGACUUUCGGGUCUGUAACUGACGCUGAGGCGCGAAAGCGUGUGGAGAAAACAGGAUUAGAUACCCUGGUAGUCCACGCCGUAAACGAUGAGUGCUAAGUGUUAGGGGGUUUCCGCCCCUUAGUGCUGCAGCUAACGCAUUAAGCACUCCGCCUGGGGAGUACGGUCGCAAGACUGAAACUCAAAUGAAUUGACGGGG
rnacentral:rRNA from 1 species